UCCCCGCCCCUUAAACCGUUUGGUUCGGGGUUAAGAAAAAACUAGUUAUUUAAAAAAUAGGGUUAAGUUUAGGGUUAAGGUGGGGUUAAAGUAUUUUUGUGUUUGGUUGGGGGUUGGAGUUAGUCCAGAAUAACGAAAAAUAGUGUUUGGUUGGAAUAGAUGGGAUAAAAAGGAUAGUAGAUUAUUAUGAAUAGAAAAUUGUGUUUGGUUGGGGUUUGGUGGGGUUAGGUGGGGUUAGCUAACCUGGAAUAACUCAUUUGAGAUGGGGUUAGCUAACCCCACCCAUUUUUAGAAGUGAUAGGGAAUAAAAUGGGGGUUAAGGGUUAUUCCACCCCUUAACCCCUUAACCCCCAACCAAACGGAGGUAUUCUCCUAAAAAACUCCCAUCCCCACAGAUUAUUUUUUAAAAUAUAAUGAAUUAAAUUUUUUAUUUCUAAUUUAAUCAAAUCUAAUUUAAUUUUAAAUCAAAUCAGUUUAAAAUUUAUUUAAUUAAUAAGUGUUUUUUUAUUCAUUGUCUAAUUACUACGAAUGGCAUAUUAAAUUAUUAAAAUUUGCAACAAUCAAAUAUUAUUUAACUAAAAUAUUAUGUAAAAUUAAAUAUAUCUAAAAUGUUUAAUUAAAUUUAAAAUAUAUUAAAAGCUUCAAAGUUACCAUUUAUAUUUAUAAAUAUAUUAAUAAUAUUAUAUUAUUUUACGGGUAUUAGAGAUUUGACUGGGCGGGGAGUAGACCUAGCAAACAGGCAUGUUGGGUUACCCGCGCCGCAGACGGGUCACUGUACCCAAGGGUCAAAUGGGUACGGAUAAAAUUUAUCCAUAAAUUUUUUGGAUAGUCAAUAUCUUUACUCAUACGCCACCCAUAGGCGGGCAGGUGGAUAUGCAAGUUAUCAACAGCAUUUUAUUUUUUCUUUUUUACUCCUAUACUUUCCAAAUAUAAAACACAUAUAUAAAAUUUUUAAAAGUAUAACCUAACUUCUUAUUUGAAAUAUCACAAUAUACAAUAAAUUAACAAUAUAAAAUCUUAAAACGCAUACAUUAUAUAAUAUAAAAGUGUUUUAUAAUCCUUGAUUUUCAUGAUACAAAAUUAAUAAAAUUUUCAUCAUUAUAGAGUCAGUAUUAUAAAGAUUAUAUAUUUUUUAAUUUAAAAAAUAUAUAUGCGGGUAUCCGUGGGUACCCGCGGGUUGUCAAAAAUAUCCACUACUUAACGGAUAUCCACCAAUUUUACCCAUAAUAUUAAUUUUCAUAAAAAAUAUAAUUUCAUUUUAUUUUUGAUGAUAGGGCAUGUAUAUCAAUAAUUUGUAUAAUUAAAUAUGAUAUAUAAUAUUUGAAGUUUCGAGAAAUUAAAUUUCCUAGUUUUGAAUAUCACCCACUUAUUUAUCAAAGCACCUCAAAAAACAAAAAAAAUAAUUUCAAUGGCUGAGUAUAAGAUCUGUUUUUUCAAAGAUGUGAAAGUUUUUGGAUUACUUGAAUUAUUAGUUAAAAAAAUAAACUUUUCAUUAUUUUUUUGAGAGGUAGGUAGCACGCUACCCGCUUCGUUUAUUUUAUUUAGAAAUAAACUUAUCUGAAAAUGUGAAUCAACUAGGAUUCGAACUUAAGACCUCGGUCAGGUAUAUACCAACCACCAAGUCCUUUGCCACUUGCUCUAGGGACGGUCGGUAAUAAACUUUUCAUUAUUAAAAUUAGGAUCAAUACCCUUUAUAUUAAAGAGUCUCUAUCAUUUUCUUUUUCAAAUGCUUAUUACAUUUUAAUUAUUUAAUUUUUUUGGCAACUUGAUCUACUAAAAUAUUAUGUAAAAAUUAUAAAAAUUGUUUGCUCAAUAGAUACUUCAAGGAAUUCUCGGUCAUGUUUGACCUCUGGAUUAUUCAUUCAAAUACUCCACUAUUAAAAUAAAGUACACCCGAAAGACACCGUAGUUCUAAAAUAAAAUAUAAUUAUUGUACACCAUAGAAAUAUAAUUAUAACAUAUUAAGGGGCUCUUUGGUAUUGUCCGUCGUCUAAUAUUGUUUGAUAAAUAGAGCUGGAAAUUUGAGAUGAAAAUAUAUGAGAAUAUAUUUUUUCCGUUUUUUGAUGGGCCUAUAAAAAAUAUAUUUUAACCGACUAAUCAUGAAUAUAUAUACAGUGUUAUAUAAUUUACGAUAAUAAACAGGCAAUUUCCAUAUCAUAUUUUUAUAUUGCAUAUAAAGCAAUCCACUCGCAAUCUGAAACGUAACCUAAAAAUCUAUCCAUAAAUUAAUCAUUUAGUUCUAAACAAAAUAAGGCUAUAAGCCUAUGGUACAUCUCACACAAAUAUAUAUAUAUAUAUAUAUAUAUAGAGUCCGGCUACUAUGCUAUCGGUAGCACGGAGCGCUCCGUGCUACCAAGUUGUUUUCGAUGAUGCGGCUUCCAAAUCGACGAUCGGCUCCGUUAGACUUGAUCUACACUAUUGAAAGUAUUUGGAAACUAAAUUUUAAAUUUUUUCGACAUCAUUUGACUAGUAAUCAAAAGAUCUCAAAAUUGACAAUUUUAAUGGCCGAUGUGGUGUGUUUGUGAGUUUAACGGUGUAAAACAAUUCAAAUGCGAUGAAAAUGGUUUAUUAGAAAAUUUUUUCACUGUAUUUAGAAUAAGGAUCGGUAUCAUGCGUAUCUUGGGAUUUAAAAUCUUUUUAUCACAUUUUUUAUGAGAUUUUAUUUUCAGACCGUUCAAUUUGAGACUACUUGGUUGAUAGGUAGAUGCAUAAUCGAAAAAUUAUGAAUUUAGUUUUCUAAAUACUUUCAAUAGGUGUGGAUCAACUCUAACGGAGGCGACGUCGAUUUGGGAAGCCACAUCAUCGAAAACAACUUGGCGUAGCACGCGGCGCUCCGCUCCGCGCUACCGGGAUAGUAUAGUAGCCGUAGCUCGUAUAUAUAGUAGUAUAGUGUAUAUAGUAUGUUAUAUAUAGUACUGCUAGUUAUUAUAUAUAGUAUUAUAUAUAUGUUAAUUAAGCUGGGAGGAUAUAUUAGUAGUAAAUACUCAUGUUUACUAUAAAUGUUUAAUCCGUUGGGGAUGGAAAAUUAUUAGGAAUUAGCGAUGAUAAUAGUCACGUUAGCGUUGAAUGGUCCCCCCCUAGGGGUUGCAGGGCUUCACUCUGGGUUUAUGAGAUUUAAGUCCAAUGGGUUAAAGAUAAUAAAAA
rnacentral:lncRNA from 1 species